rnacentral:tRNA from 1 species
GGUUAUGGCUCCAUGGUAGAGCACUCGCCCAGCACGUGCAAGGUCCUGGGUUCGAUCCGCAGCACCA